GUCAAGCCUCGUGCGCUCGGCACAUGAAACCCCCAAGCGUUACGGCCGGCUGCCCCGACAGCCACUCUAGGAUGGCGGCGCAAUCGCAAUCACAGUCGGAGUCGGAGGGGCCUCCUUGCUUAGGUUUCCUCAUGGAGGGGCCUGACCCAACCACUACCACUACCCCAUCCGCCGCCGGAACCCCGAUGCCCCCAAGCGGACCCUCGCGGAGGGAGAGAACUACCGUUCCUCCUCGAUCGUCCCCCCGCCGCCCUCCGCGGACACUGGCGCCGGGGAAGACCCUGUCGCACGGGUCGGUUUCGCUACUGGGGAGGCGGAGGGACAUGGAGGACACGGUGACGGAGGUGACGGGCUUCUCGGCAGGUGGGUACGGGUAGUUCGCGGUGUGCGACGGGCACGGGGGAGCGAUGGUGGCGCGGGCGUGCCGGGACCGGCUGCAGGUGGCUGUGACGGAGGGCCGCCCGGGUGGGUGAGGGGGCGGAGACGUGGAGGUGGGCGUGAAGGUGGACGCCGAGGUGAUGUUGGAGGCCACGGAUCUGUAGCAGGGGUUGGUGGUGGGAGACGAGUGGAUCAUGGUGGCCACAUGCGGCGACUCCCGGACGGUGCUCUCUCAUGGUGGCCGUGCCCCCUUUCUAUCCAUCAAGAUACUGCAGCCAACAUGAAUUAAGAAGAGAAGAGAAGGGAAGAAGGAGAAGAAGAAGAGGAAUUGAAGAAGAAGCUUUGAUUGAGGUUUUGCAUCAACUCCUCCCAUUUGGGAAUCAAAUUUGCUUAAGGCAAGUGUUCUAAUCUCUUCCUACAGAAUUCCUAAUCUCUGUUUUCCUUUUAAUUCUUCAUAAUGCAAAAGAUUUCAGCUUAGUACCAAACCGUUCUUUCCUUUUGAUACAAAGCCAUGAAUCUGAAAUUUUUCGGUAAUCUGACUUCUGUACAUUGUUUUCGAUCUAACUUUUAGCACUAAACUCUGAUUUAGGUAAAACCUAUUCCAUUUGAAAGUAGACUCAAAUAUCUUUAUUUUGACACUAAGAUUGAAUGAUUUGGAGUUUAAAUGCCUACUAAGACUUCUGUUUCAAUUAACCCUACAGAUUCUACAAAAUAGAGACUGAAAUUUCUGACCUCUUGUUGCUUAACUACUUAUAACUUUCUGCUGUGAACUCAGAUUCAUACAAAGUAUGAUUUAUUCGAAGCUAGACUCAAAAUUCUUUCUUUAUAUACCUGAUUUGAAAUUUUCGGAUAAUAAUUGCUAACUAAAACAUCUGCUUUCAUCGACCUAAUGAAUUCAGUAAAACAGAGCAAAUAUUUUCAGACCUUUGGCUACGAAAUUAUCUGUAACUCCCUGUUGUAAAUUCCAAUUCUUGUCAAACUUAAUUUGCCUAAAAUUAGAUUGAUAAAGCUUUCUAAUGACACAUAUUUUACAUAAAUUGGAGCAUAAUUGGUUAUCGAAAUAGUUCAUACAAUGUCCCUAUCAAAUUCUGCCAGAAUCGAGCUUUGGUCGAUUUCGGCUCUCCUUGUUUCUUCUCUUUGGAAAUCGAUUUCGGCAAACACUCUUCAGUUAAGCUUUACAUUAUUACCUUAAAUUCCUGUAUACUUUUGUCCUUUAUUUAUUUGUCUGCAGCUAUCAUCUAAAGUUCAUGUUUUCAGCGUAAUGAUUCGGCACAUGCAUCCCAUUGUUCCGCAUUUGCUUUCGAUAUUGUGCCUCUUCCAGUUUCAUUUCUUUGGAGAUUGAAUUCAUCUAACUUUCUUAUUUCAAUUGAGCCAUAUGUGAUUUCUUGAAAUCCUUGUAUACUCCUGCUUUUGUUUCCUUUUAAAUCUGAAUACAUUUGUGAAAGAUUCUGUUUGUAUCGUAUUGACUCGAAAGGCAUAUGUACAUUUCGUUGUUCCGCAUGUGCUUCUGAUAUGUGUCAAUGUUAUUGUUCAUACUACCCUUUUGUACUCUGGUGUCUUGUGGGAUAUUGUGAACCUUUGCCAGAAAUGGUAAAGGGAGUUAUGCUUAGAGCCCGCGAUUGCUCUGCCGGCCCCAUUGACUUCACUCAGACGUGGGUGGAUGGAGCUCCCAGACGUGGGAGACUUAUGCUUGGUGGUCAUCCAGAAAUGGAUGGACCAUAUUAUGUUAUGAUCCCACUUCACCUUCUAUAUGUUUGAUAUAAAAUUCAAAGCCGACCUAGCAAUUGGGCAGGGUGAGAGGGCUCGAGUAGGAAAGGGCUACCCGUGGAUGGAGUCGAAAACUCAUCACGGCGUGGAGCCACCACUGAGUUAAUCCUCACAUGCACUAGGCUAGAGUACGACAUUUGAGCUUCUAUUUCAUAUUUGUUCUUUGAUAUGUUCUGAAAUGCUUCUUAUGUUCCGAACUAUUUCAUAUGCCAUUGAUAUCCAAAAUGCUCCUUACGUCUUUGUUAUGCCUUGAAAUUACCAUAUGUCAUUGAUAUGCUCCUCAUGCCAAUGAUAUGCUCCAAUUAUCUUUCCUCGAUUGUAUGAACAAAACGUGCUUCGAACGAAAUGACAUCGUAAUUCUGCAUUCAUGAUGUCCAAAAUGCUCCUUACGUCUUUGUUAUGCCUUGAAAUUACUAUAUGUCAUCGAUAUGCUCCUUAUGCCAAUGAUAUACUUCAAUUAUCUUUCCUCGAUUGUAUGAACAAAACGUGAUUCAAACGAAAUGACAUCGUAAUUCUGCAUUCAUGAUAUCCAAAAUGCUCCUUACGUCUUUGUUAUGCCUUGAAAUUAUUAUAUGUCAUCGAUAUGCUCCUUAUGCCAAUGAUAUGCUCCAAUUUCUUUUCUCCUAUUGUUAUGUCUAAUGCCUGUUUUGAACGAGGUAAACCUUUGUGAUUUUAUAUCAAAUGAGAUGACUUCAAAUGAACACUUAUAUUUCUGCUUUUGUUAUCUUGAUACUAAGCCUGCUUGAACUUCUCCUAUCGCCAUGGAUAUGUUAGUCGCUUGCUGAGCUCUUUAUGCUCACCCCGUUGCUAUAUAAAUUUUUCAGGGUAGCUUGUUAUGUUCUGAAAAUCUAGAAUUGGGUUGAGGCAGUGGAAAGCUAGAAGAUUUUGGGGCAAAUCUUUCGUAAUUAAUAAGUUGAUAUGGUAUAAGUUUUUUUGUGUGUAUCAACGACAAAUCUAGAUUGAUGUAUCUUGUAAAUAUUUGGAAAGUACCUCUUGUGUUGGGAUUUUGGGAAUGUUAAAGUUUAAAUUGUGUAAUGAUAUAAACAUGUAAUACAUGUUGGUUUUGUGAUUGUAUAGAUUGCUACGCUUAUGGAUUUAUGAUGUGGUUAUGGUUUAGUUGAGUUGGCUUUGGAUUUUGUGAAUCAUUAAGUGAUAUUAUACUAUGAUUAUAAACUGCACAGGUUUUAUGAAUUGGAAAAUUAUAGAUAUGAAUGACUUGAAUGUUUUCUCAGUAUCCUCAAAUGUGUGAACGGAUCCUGGAAUGAAUUGUUGUUGAAUUAUAAUACAAAAGAAAAAAAAAAUUCAGCGGGGCGUGACAGAAGGCGUCGACCAAGGCUUGCCAUACCCUACGGCAACUCGGCCUUACCGCGCAAUGCCCACAACGGCAACGGACGCGAUCAGGUAUACAGCCCUGCCCCGGCAGGAUGGCGCGUCAGGUAACAUCGAGCUCACCUAUAAAUACCCUCGGGCUCGAAGCAGGCAGGGUAAGCGGAAAAACUCACGAUUCCAUCUAAGAUUCCCCUCUUCGCUUCUAACUUGAUCAUCGGAGGGGUCGGGCCGAAUCACCGACCCGACCAGUGUGCAGGUACUCGGCGAAAGCUGACCCGACCCGGCGACGCGGAGCACUUCAGCCCGAUUCCCUGUGAUCGGUCACCCCGAGGAUCCCGCGAGGAGCUUCACCUGAUCCUGGCCGCUCGGACCCUUGAACCAGCCGUACCGACCCCGAGGUAACGGCUAAAAAAGUUACUUGCCGUAACACUAUCGACUUCUGCUGUUUUUAUGCUUGAGUACUAUAAAUGUCGAUUAGUAUGUUGAGGCUGGACCCAUUGUGCAAAUAUAUUGUAGUAAGUUUCUACAAAGAAUUCAAGGACAUGUUAUGAUACCAUUUCCUUUGUGUUA